rnacentral:lncRNA from 1 species
GGAUGUGUCACGGAUCCACUGAGGAAUUCAGGGACCCCAUGGUCUACUGGGCCAAUGCUGAUGCCAUCGGAAGCAGCAGGCUAGCCACGAACCUCCAAGGAUUCAUUCUCCUGUCUCCACCUGCCAUCUCCUCAUAGGAGUUCGGAGAUUAUGGACGAUGGUUCUGCUGUUUCCAGCUUUCUGCAUGGGUUCUGGGGACUAGAACUCAUAUCUUCUGGAUGGUGCAGACAGUGCUUGUAUCACAGAGCCAUUUCCCCGGACAUCACAAGCCUUUAGAGAGAGGACACAUUUUUGGAAUUUGUAUUUGCUGCGUACUUUGAAUCUAUUGGUUUAGCUUUGGCUUUGCGCAACCCCAGCAUGAACAGGAGGCUGUUACCACAUUUGAUUUCUUUUGGUCAAAAAACAGGAAGGAAACAAGAGAGGAGGAUGGGCCACCCUCAUCUCGAAGCCAGAGUCACCUUUCACUGAUUUUUCUGGAUGCUCAGAAAGUGAUGAAAUUUAGUGUUUGAAGGAAAUUUAGAUUUACAAGAGCUGCAGAAGUAGCUCAGAGUUCCUGGUGCACACUCUUUGAAAGACAGCCUUGUCUACUUUAGGCUAUAAGAUGAUUUCCAUGGGAAGCAGGAGGCCACACUCGUACCACCCAGAGCAGCAGUCCAGCAAGCCUUGGAAGAGCCUUGUCCUGCCAUUG